rnacentral:rRNA from 1 species
CCUACGGGGGGCUGCAGUGGGGAAUAUUGCACAAUGGGGGAAACCCUGAUGCAGCAACGCCGCGUGAGCGAUGAAGGCCUUCGGGUCGUAAAGCUCUGUCCUAAGGGAAGAAUACUGACGGUACCUUAGGAGGAAGCCCCGGCUAACUACGUGCCAGCAGCCGCGGUAAUACGUAGGGGGCUAGCGUUAUCCGGAAUUACUGGGCGUAAAGGGUGCGUAGGCGGCCCUUCAAGUCAGAGGUGAAAGGCUACGGCUCAACCGUAGUAAGCCUUUGAAACUGUAGGGCUUGAGUGGAGGAGGGGAGAGUGAAAGUCCCAGGGUGGGGGUGAAAGGCGGAGUUAUUGGGAAGAACACCGGUUGCGGAGGGGGCUCUCGGGACUGUAACUGACGCUGAGGCACGAAAGCGUGGGGAGCGAACAGGAUUAGAUACCCUUGUAGUC